CCUACGGGUGGCAGCAGUGGGGAAUAUUGGACAAUGGGCGAAAGCCUGAUCCAGCCAUGCCGCGUGUGUGAAGAAGGCCUUCGGGUUGUAAAGCACUUUCAGUGGGGAAGAAAGCCUUGGGGCUAAUACCCUCGAGGAAGGACAUCACCCACAGAAGAAGCACCGGCUAACUCCGUGCCAGCAGCCGCGGGUAAUACGGAGGGUGCGAGCGUUAAUCGGAAUUACUGGGCGUAAAGCGCGCGUAGGCGGUCUGAUAAGCCGGUUGUGAAAGCCCCGGGCUCAACCUGGGAACGGCAUCCGGAACUGUCAGGCUAGAGUGCAGGAGAGGAAGGUAGAAUUCCCGGUGUAGCGGUGAAAUGCGUAGAGAUCGGGAGGAAUACCAGUGGCGAAGGCGGCCUUCUGGACUGACACUGACGCUGAGGUGCGAAAGCGUGGGUAGCAAACAGGAUUAGAUACCCUGGUAGUC
rnacentral:rRNA from 1 species